ACGUGCCUUCAAAGCCAGUCUGCUUUAAGGGGAAUUGCCAAAUCCAUUCUCCUAGACUCCCUGCCUGUACACACUGCUGUGAGGGGGCAAAAGUGACUUAACCCUCCUCUCCUUGUUUUCCUCUCGGGACAAAUGAAAUCCAGACAGGAGCAGCCCAGUGAGGAGCUUAUCAUGGGAUAAGGAGGCCGACUGGCUCCAGGAAAAACUUCAACAAGAUCAGUUACAGGAGCCAGGUGGAAUGCGUGCUUCCCUCCAGGAUAGAUUUCAGAUUUUUGCCUGCAGCUACCUGUUGUGAUCAAAACACCCUGCCCCUGCAUUUUAAUUCUUUGAUCAGAAGAGAAGAACAAACUGGAUCCAGACUCCUAGCUGGCAAUAUGAAGAUGAUAAGAGAAGAUAAUAAGGAAAAUGAUGGAAGUUGAUAUAUACACAUGUAUGUAUGAAAUUAUGAAAUAACAACUAUAGAAGGAGAGACAUGAAGUCAGACAUGGUAACACAUACCUGGAAUCCUGUCACCCUGGCAAGGUGUGUGGGUUUGCCCACCGCCAACUCAAUUACUAUCUGACUUUUAGUCUAAUCUGUAAGGUGCUUGUUAGAACUGUUUGAUAUCUUUUGGGAAAGGGGGCAAGUUUCCCCUCUGGCUGGUGCCCUUUCCUUCUCCUGACAAGAGCUAGCGUGAGAUUCCUGGGGAAAUUCUCAUCUCAGGAAGUCAGUCCACUGUUUCAACCGUCUGACAGUCAGUGCAGGAAAUCAAGAGACAUCAGAUCCCCUAGAACUAGAGAAACAACAACAACAAAACGAUUAAAAACUGAUCCAUGUGGGCUGAGAACCAAACCCAGGACCUCUGCAAGAACAGCAAGGGCUCUUAACCACUGAGCCACCUAGCCAGCCCUGAUACAAAGGUCUCUUUAGAAUAUCUUCAUUCCUACCAUGCUGGUUACAUCUGGUGGAUCAUGACUUCCAAACCAGCCUGGGCCCAUAGCAAAACCCUGUCCCAGAGACAAGGAAGAAAAUAACCAGCGCUCAGGAAGCAGAGGCAGGAGGAUCAAUUGAAAUUUGAGGUCAGCCUUGGCUACCUUGUCUCGAAAACCAAAUGAUGAAAUAAACCACGACCGAAAACAGACAAGAAGAAAAGCGCUAUCAGGUAAUUCCUUCCUUGGUUCCUAAUCUGGUGGAGGCCGUGGUUAUGUGAGGACACAGGAGAAGGUGGUCGUGUGUAAGCCAGCAGUGGAGAGUCAUCCUAAUCUUAAACUUCUCUAAAAUCUAGGCUGAGGAGGAAAGAAAUCUGCUGGUUAAGUCAGCAAGUCCAGCACUGUCACGGUAGUUCAGCUCGAAAAGACAGGCAAUGGGACUGAUGAUGUGAAUUUGAUCCCUGGGACCUAUAUGAUGGAAAGAAAGAACAAGUCCUCCCAGCUCUCAUCCGACCUCCACAUUCCUGCACCGCAUGCCAGGUUCUCAGGCACACACAACCACGGGAGCAAAAUUAACAGAUAAAUGUCAUUUAAAAAGAAAACCAUGCCACAUAGUCUAAAGUGCUUCCUUAGCUGAGGUGACAGAGCAUAGAGACGGAGCCCCCAAAACAACCAACUUGUGCCCCGCAGUUUAGAUCUGGGCCUAACACAGGCAAGAGUGAGCUGUCUUCAGACCUGUGGCUACAGACCCAGCGAGCCUCUCUGUCGUGGAAGUUAUGUGAAUCUUAGCCUGGGAGCUUCAUGGCGUUUAUAUGAGCCACAUGAUCUUCCCUUCCCCCGAGGAACAGCAGGUCUCACUUUCUCGAAAUUACAAAUGUUGUCAUUUUUGUGAGACUCAAGCUGACAUGUCAGGAAACACUUGUAUAAAAGCCAUCUAAAAAUACACACCAACUUGUCAUAGUUCCUGUCUUUAGGAGGAGUUGGAGAGAGGAUGGGAUUAGUUUUCAAUAAUUCAACUACUUUAUGGUUUUAAAAAACCCAACUAUACGCUGUACCAGAAAGAAAUCCUACUUUCUGGUUAUUUCUUAUUGGUAUGAGCUUGACUCCCAGCCAGGUCCAGAAAUACCAUCUUACUGAAGAAGGACGAGGAGGAGUUAAUUUUGGAAAUAAAGAUUAAGAGUAUUU
rnacentral:lncRNA from 1 species